rnacentral:rRNA from 1 species
AGGUAGCAUAAUCAUUAGUCUUUUAAUUGAAGGCUGGAAUGAAUGGUUGGACGAAAUAUUUACUGUUUCAUAUUAAUUUUUGAUAAAAUUUUAUUUUUUAGUAAAAAAGCUAAAAUAAUAUUAAAAGACGAGAAGACCCUAUAAAUCUUUAUAUUUUAAUUAAUUUUUAUAAAUUAGAAAUUAAAUUAUUUAAUUUAAUUUAAAUAUUUUAUUGGGGUGAUAUUAAAAUUUAAUUAACUUUUAAUUUUAUUGAACAUUAAUUUAUGAAUUAUUGAUCCAAUAAUAUUGAUUAUUAGAAUAAGUUACUUUAGGGAUAACAGCGUAAUUUUUUUGGAGAGUUCAUAUUGAUAAAAAAUAUUGCGACCUCGAUGUUGGAUUAAGAAAUAAAUUUAGGUG